CCUAGUGAGAUGAACCCGGUACCUCAGAUGGAAAUGCAGAAAUCACCGUCUUCUGCGUCGCUCAUGCUGGGAGCUGUAGACCGGAGCCGUUCCUAUUCGGCCAUCUUGGCUCCUCCAGGCCCUUAAAAUUAUAUUUCUUUCAUACUAAAGUGUGGGAGGAAAUAUGGGUAUCACCUUCCUGGCGAUUUCCCAUGGCUGGGACCUCUUAGGAAGCAGUCUCCCUAGAGUAUUUCAAAAUAAUUAUGAAAUACCUACUUCCUGUCGAAAGGUGUCCCUCCUAUUUACUCUGAGUUUUCAUAAAUAAUUUACAAUACAAAAGUAUUUGAUGGUGUGACAUUUUAAAGACAAGGAACAGAAUGAUUCCUAAAGGCUCCUCCAUAUCUAUAACAUUUUAAAAAAUCAACCGAUUGCUGUUUGUAAUCUCUCCCUGAUUUUGCUGCAAAUGACUAAUCUUAGUAUUUUCCUUCUUGUUGCAGUUCUCACCUUGAUGAUUUUAUAAAUACCUGUGCAAUCAUUUAAGGAUGCUGUUAUAACUUGCUAUCACAGGAUUCAGGUCCAAGAACCCUCUCUUAGGAUCUGCACUGGGACCUACCCCUUUUUGGCAACAUGUUCUUGGCAACCACGAAGGGACUAUCCUGAGGAGAUCCCUGACCCAAAGGAAAUAGACUGCAGAACCAAUUGGCUGACUUUGGCGGGUCAAAGAAUAUGUGAGAUUCCCCACACAUUUAUGCCACAGGAGGAGAAAAGCCUGCCUAGGGGUGUUUUAACUUAUGCCCAGAAGUACCACCUGGAAGAGGCAACGAGACUUUAUUCAUAAGAAUCUAAGUGGAGCAUUCUCCCAGACAACCAGCGGCGGAGCAAGGAGGGGCUGGCCAAACAGUGACGUUGACUGGUGCAUGAGACGAACAGAGGCUCACAGAAGAGCCUCUGAAGAGCCCACAAAAAAUGUCCAUAAGGUAAAAGAGUCAGCUUUGAACUUAUUUUUCAGUAGGCAACAGAAGCUUCACAGAAGAGAGCUUGAAGCUCUCUUGAAGCAGCAUCAUGGUUCAAGCAAUACCUUCUCGGUCACACUGUGCCCCUUCCCUUUCCAGUGCUCCAACUUCAGUGAGGGAGAUAGAGGGUGAGAAAAAAGACAAGAAGACAUCCUUUCCCGCUUAAAUCAAGUUCUGAGCUCUGAUCAUCCUCUGGGACUAGACAGCCUAAUUUCUGAAGUUAGACUGUCUGUGAUUUAAAGAGAUUGCAGGACUUUCUAGACUGAUCAGAGAAGUCACAGCCCCUGCCCAUUUUCCACCUAGGGUCAUAGAAAGACUAUGUCUAGUAUGCACAUUUUAA
rnacentral:lncRNA from 10 species